UCAGCUUUUCGAAAAAGGAUACACACCACUCAGAACACAAGUUUCCGUACAUAUGAGGUUGUUCAAUCAAGAGGGCCUAAAAAUUGAAGUAAAGCCUGAAGGCACAAACAGCUUCGGAGAAAUGAUCAAAGGGACAUACACCAUUGCUUACGCUAGCAGUAGCUGCGUACUACUAAAGACAUCAGGUGACCGCCCCUUCUGCACAGCAUGGGUACUGGCCAGCACUGCUGCCCAUCUACACACAGAGUGCAAAAAGCAGUUCAAGACGGAAUGCUCCAAGUCUGACGAAGGAAACUGCGCAAAUUAAUUGCUGCUUUACCCCAAUA